GUGAUAUGGUGUUAUUCUCUAUGGGCUGAUGCCUGAAGCCUUCUGAUAAGCUGUUGUCAGAAAUCCAUUAGAUGUCAUUCCUGGGACAAGCUUGUCUUUGACUGUUGGUGGCUGAUGCUCAGCAUGAUGUGUUUGUGUGCCUGGGAUUUGUCCGUGAGUCUCAGGAAGAAUAAGCCUGCAACAGAGAAAUCACUGGCCUAGCUGGGAAGGAGAGAGACAGUUCUUGUCACUAUGCAGUUUCUUUUCUGGAAUGAGUCCCAGACAUAACUCAGAGCAGCUUCAGACUCCUUGACCAUCUAUGGCCCCAUAGGUAUGUUUUAGAAGCCAAGGAUAGAUGUGGUGUUAAGGUACCCAGCCCACAGCAUCACUUUUUGACAUGUUCUCCCUAUUCUGUGAGGGAUGUGAGUUUGUGAGGAUGUAAGAACUGUAAAAACUUCAAAGGGACUGGGCCUGGCGCAUCUUAUUUAUGUUAUAUUCUUUUACUGAA